GCAGGUGAUAACUUGAACAGAAGAAGAGAGAAGAGCAGUGAGCUGUUUCCCAGGAGACAUGGGAGAGGGGAAGUCACCUGACGCCAGAUGCAUUCACGAUGAUCUCCUGCUCCAGUUGAACAACAACUCUGAAACUCUGGUCAUAAUUUGGUGCCUGACUUGAAGUCAUAUUCAUCAUCAACAUGAAGGCCAAAGACGUUUUGAUGGAGAAGCUCUGCCAGAGCCGACGAGACUCAACGCUGACAGCUCUCCUCACUGUUCCCCACAUCAUGAUGCAUUCAGGAACCCCGAGGCUCGGGGGCCGAUUCAAGCUGUCAUCCUUCCAGAUUUCUGACCAACAAGGCUCUCAAUGAUCACCACUCAUAAUCCAUCAGAUUUCAUCACUGAGGAAGUAUGAUGACAACCCGACCACAGCGCUUUCAUCCGCUCGGCCGCUCUGCGUCUGAAAAUGGCAGGAGGUGAUGUUGAGGUGAAGGCUGCCUGUGAGAAACUGAGGCCGCCUCUGCGUUUCCAUCUUUCAUCCCAGACAUGUGAAGACUUUCCCCCCUCCUACCUCCUCUCUUUGUUGACGUGCUUCAGUAUGGGCUGCCGGGUCACGUUCACAGAGCUCAGUCAGCUUUAAUCACAGUCUGCUUGUAGUGCUUCCAGAGGCCUUCGCUGUAGCUCUGCAAAGCAGGAGGAAGAAGAGUACACCUGAAGAAGGCGGCCAUCGUCAUCAUGCCGCACGCCUCAGACUGUUUCUGUCAGCAUCUUAGUGACACCACUUAUCUGCUCUGCUGUCACUGUGCUGCUCUGCUCUCUGCUGCCAUUGAAUGAAGCAACACUGACAUCUAUUGGACGGAUGGAAAAGUGUCCCAGGAUUGGUUGAAGUCACGCUGGAUGUCCCUG